CAUAGCUCAAUCGGUGGAGCAGCAGACUCUUAAUCUGAAGGCUGCGGGUUCAAGUCCCGCUGC
rnacentral:tRNA from 1 species